rnacentral:rRNA from 1 species
GACAUAGGUGGCAAACGUUAUCCGGAAUUACUGGGCGUAAAGAAUGCGUAGGUGGUUCAAUAAGUUACUGGUGGGAAAUCGGGGCUCAACCUCGUGGAAGUCAGUAAUACUAUUAAACUAGAGGGUCGGAGAGGUUAACGGAAUUCUAUGUGUAGCGGUAAAAUGCUUAAAUAUAUAGAGGAACACCAAACGGCGAAGGCAGUUAACUAUUCGAUUCCUGACGUUGAGGCACGAAAGCGUGGGGAGCAAGACGG